CAGAUUCUGAAAUUUUCUCGAACCUUCUUAAAUUUUAAUAAUUAAUUUUACGCCGAAGUGGAAACAGAUGUGGAUCCAGGGCAGCCGAACUCGCAGAAGGAAGGUAAUCUCAAAAGACACAGUACAGACGGCUUGUUUGUGAAUUUCCAAUAUGAUUCAAAUGAGAAAAUACAUGUCUGGCUUUAAAUUGUAUGUGCUCAUUUUGUGUCAGAUUUCAACGCGGAUCGAACCAGAAACCAAUGGCGUUGAUCAAGAAAUUGCGAAAGGGGCGGUAAGCGAUUUAAUUCGACAUUGGCAAUGGAAUUUAAUUUACAAUAUAAAUGGUGGAAUAGUAUGCAAAGCUAUCAGUUUCUGAAUUAGCUUCAUCUUUUAGAUUUAACAUUGUGUUAUUUCAACAAGUUUGUUUGGUUGGAUUCAUUAUCUGUGUCUAAUGUUCAAAAUUAUAAGUGCCUUUGUAAACUUUUCUUUAGAGUUUAUUCUGUUUUUUCUUGUGCGACAUCUGCUUGCCCCUUGCUGAUUGUAUAGCCGUUGGCUAAAUUACGGUAGUCGUGUGAUAACAGUAGGGUGGGGUUCUCAGCUUCUUGAUAUGAAAAUUUAAACAUCCUUAGCUUAGGCCUGAGGGGUUUUCUGAAGACCCUUGGUUUUGUUCUCUUGUUAACUGCCGCGCUAGGACACUGCGACUGAUUUUCAAAAAGCAUACCGAUUCACUGUAAGAGGCUAAUGUGAGUUGCACAAGAGGUAGACAUAAUAAGGAAAGUAGAAAGCUGCACUUGGAAACUGGUUCUAAAUGAAUGAAUAUUGUAGUUUGGCAAAUCAUCACAGGUUCUUCUUCUCAAAGGCAUUGAUUUUCUAAUCUUGUUAACAGGGGACAAUGUUCUUUAUCUGCCUUGUUAUUGUCAGUGAUCAUGCUACUUGUUAUUCUAAGAAUAUGAUAGAUAUGGCAUGAGUGGUCCUCGAAUAACAUAAACCUGUGUGGUGAGUGGAUGCUGGAACUUCAUAAAGAGUAUAGAUGAACUCAAUUUACUUUGCACUGCCACCAUGUUUGUUUCUUGUAAGUUGAACUUCAUGUAGUUUGCAUUGCUACCAAUACUAUAGAAAGUUGUGUUGUAAGCUGAAAUAGUACGAGAUUAUUUUGGAAACUUGUGAUCGUGAUGAACUAAAAAGGUUAUUAUGUUUUCUCUUUGUCAAUUUCUAUGCUCGAAACAGAAGCAAGAGGCACAACCUGGUGAGAAGCCAGAGAGCUAGUUUGGACUCUCCUGCGCAACAUGAUCAUUGUACCGGAGAUGAUUUGUAGCAUCAUUACAAUGGCAAAACCUUCAAUCAAGUUAAAACCAGGCCUGAAAUGAUUGGCCACUAUCUAGCUGAGUUCUCAAUCAGUUACAAGCCUGUCAAGCAUGGAAGCUCCCCUGGUAUUGAUGCUACUCAUUCCUCCAGGUUCACUCCUCUCAAGUAACAAUAUUUUACACAUUUCUUCACUCUACACUUAAUAGCAGUCGUAUCGUUAUAUUUUCUGAAAUCUGCUCAAUUAUUGCUUAAAUAAUGUAAGCCUGUGUGAUCACAUCUCAAAUGCACAGAUUAUAAUCAAUGAAAUUGAAAAUGAGCUUAUAUUAUGGUAGGUUUCAACUCAGUUUGGUUUGAUGUCAUGGUGUUUACAAUGCUGGU
rnacentral:lncRNA from 1 species